GAUGAACGCUGGCGGCGUGCCUAAUACAUGCAAGUCGAGCGAACAGACGAGGAGCUUGCUCCUCUGACGUUAGCGGCGGACGGGUGAGUAACACGUGGAUAACCUACCUAUAAGACUGGGAUAACUUCGGGAAACCGGAGCUAAUACCGGAUAAUAUAUUGAACCGCAUGGUUCAAUAGUGAAAGACGGUUUUGCUGUCACUUAUAGAUGGAUCCGCGCCGCAUUAGCUAGUUGGUAAGGUAACGGCUUACCAAGGCAACGAUGCGUAGCCGACCUGAGAGGGUGAUCGGCCACACUGGAACUGAGACGCGGUCCAUACUCCUACGGGAGGCAGCAGUAGGGAAUCUUCCGCAAUGGGCGAAAGCCUGACGGAGCAACGCGGCGUGAAUGAUGAAGGUCUUCGGAUCGUAAAGCUCUGUUAUUAGGGAAGAACAAAUGUGUAAGUAACUAUGCACGUCUUGACGGUACCUAAUCAGAAAGCCACGGCUAACUACGUG
rnacentral:rRNA from 1 species